AUUUUUAAUAUAUAUAGAUAUAUGUUUAUAUUAUAAAAGAAAUUUGUUUUACAAAAGUUGAUUAGCUUGUUAUAUUCUUCCAUUUAUAAUUAAUUUAAGGAUAAUUGUGUUAUUUAAAACUAUAUAAUCUAUAAAAAUAUUAUACAUUAUUAUCACUAUUAUACUUGUCUUUUAAUAGAAAAUGCCUAAAAUGGAUGGAAUGCCCAAA
rnacentral:lncRNA from 1 species